AUUGUUUCUGCUGAUAUAGAAAAUUGUUGUAUUCAUCUUACUUGGUAGCUAGGGUUUAAGUUGAAGGGUUUGGCGAAGAAGAGACACAGUAUCGAUCGAGUGUGUUCAUCACUCAUCAAACGCACAAAAGAUGUCACUUUGGCGCCUACUCGUCCUCCGCUCCCUCCGCCGUCCUCCCGCCGUCCAACCCAUCUCGGUUACCGUCCGCUCCUUUGCAUUUUCCUCCGCCGAAGAAGCCGCUGCUGAGCGCCGUCGACGGAAGCGCCGUCUGCGCAUCGAGCCUCCCCUGAAUGCGAUUCGUCCUCCCCUGCAGCACUCUCCUUCCCGUGACCCGAACGCUCCUCGUCUUCCUGACUCCACUUCAGCGCUGGUGGGACCUCGCCUCAACCUCCACAACCGCGUCCAAUCCCUUAUACGUGCCGGCGACCUAGAUGCCGCCUCUUCCGUCGCCCGCCACUCCACCUUCUCCUCGACUCGUCCCACCGUGUUCACCUGCAACGCCAUCAUCGCUGCCAUGUACCGUGCCAAGAGGUACAACGAGGCUAUUGCUCUCUUUCACUUCUUCUUCACCCAGUCAAACAUCGUUCCCAAUAUUGUCUCUUACAACAAUGUCAUCAAUACCCAUUGCGAUGAGGGUCGUGUUGAUGUUGCUCUUGAGCUUUAUCGCCAUAUCAUUGCCACUGCCCCUUUCGGCCCUUCUGCGGUUACCUAUCGCCAUCUCACCAAGGGUUUUAUCAGCGCCGGUCGCAUUGUUGAAGCCCUUGAUCUCUUGCGUGAGAUGUUGAAUAAAGGUCACGGUGCCGAUUCCUUGGUUUAUAACAACCUAAUUUCAGGUUUUCUCGAACUGGGCAAUCUGGACAAAGCCAAUGAGCUCUUUGAUGAGCUCAAGGAGCGGUGUUUGGUGUAUGAUGGGGUUGUCAAUGCUACUUAUAUGGAAUGGUUCUUUAACAAUGGCAGGGACAAGGAGGCCAUGGACUCGUACAAGUCUUUGAUGGACAGACAGUUUAAGAUGACCCCUGUCACUUGCAAUGUCUUGUUGGAGGUCUUGCUUAAACACGGCAAAAAAACACAGGCUUGGGCUCUGUUUGAUCAGAUGUUAGAUAACCACACCCCACCUAAUUUUCAAGCUGUAAACUCUGAUACCUUCAACAUAAUGGUUAAUGAGUGCUUUAAUCUGGGCAAGUUCCAUGAAGCACUGGCAACUUUUAGGAAGGCUGGAACUAAGUCAAAUUCUAAGGCUUUUGCAAUGGAUGUUGCGGGCUACAAUAAUAUCAUCUCCAGGUUUUGUGAGAAUGGGUUGCUGUCCGAAGCAGAGACACUGUUUGAAGAACUGUGCUCAAAAUCUUUGAGCCCAGAUGUGCCCACUCACAGGACUUUGAUUGAUGCCUACAUGAAAAUGGAAAGGAUCGAUGAUGCUUUGAAGGUAUUCCACAGAAUGGUGGAUGCCGGUCUGAGGGUGGUCACCAACUUUUGUAACAGGGUGUUUGAUGAAUUGAUUAAGAAUGACAAAGUUAUUGAUUGUGCACAUAUUUUGAGUAAAAUGGGUGAGAGAGAUCCCAAACCAGACCCCACUUGCUACGAAGUUGUCAUCAGGGGACUGUGUGCUAAAGGUUUGUUGGAUAAAAGCCUAGAGUUGCUGUACCAGGUUAUGAGGUAUGGUGUUGGGGUUACUAAUUCCUUGAGAGAAUUUGUGACUGAGGUUUUCAAGAAAGCUGGGAGGGGUGAUGAGAUUGAGAGACUGCUAGAUUUUAACACUCCAAGAUACCGUCCUCCUCAAUUGACAAGACAACCUUACCCAACAUCCGGGUCUCCUCCACAACAAAUGCAGCCCCCAUCACUGCCUUCUGUUCAAAUGGCUGGAGUACAUAACCCAUCUCCUGGGUUUAUGCCUCAAGUGGCAGCCCAGGAGCACCCACCACUGCCACCUCAAAAUACUGGAAUGCAUCAACCUUCAUGGGGAGUAUCUCCUCCAAUGACUGGGCCUCAAAUGCCAGCAGCUGGACCUUCACCUCAUACCUCGGGACUGCCUUACUCCCCUCCAUCUGAAUUUCAAACUCACAUGAAAGGGGUGGCCCCUCAAAUGUCAGCUAACCAUUAUACACCAUCUGCACCUUCACCUCAAAUGGCAGGACAUCAACCUUAUGGAACACCGAGCGGGCCCCAACAAUAUCCACCAUCAGGAUUGACUCCUCCAUGGGGAGGGCAGCAUCAUCCACAGUCAUGGUCGUCUAUUCCCUCCCAUGGAACAUCUGCUAAAAUGUCAGCACUGUGUAAUACAGCCCCAGGACCAUCUUCUCAGAUGACAGGACCAUAUAACCCAGCAUCAGGAAUCCCUCCUCACAUUCAGGAACCACAUCAACAGCAAUCAGAAGUCCCUGAACAGGGUUUUGUCUUGCCAGACUUGAAGAAUAGGUUCUUCCUUUGGAGUUUCCUCAUUGUGGUUUCUUUAAUUUGUGGUGCUUAUGUGGUUGGUAAUGCAUCCUUUGCAAAGGAAUACAAACAAAGAUUAGCACGAUGGGGACUAAUUUAUUCACUGCCAGUUACAAAAUCCAAUGCAUGCAAGAAACAUUGCUGGCCUUCUGGAACUGAAGCAUUGCCUAAAGGAAUUGUUGCUAGAACAUCUAGCUUCGAAAUGCGGCCCUUAUGGGACUCUGGUAUAAAUCAUAGAAUUUCAAAGCACCCAUUGAACUUGUUGGCUAUUGCAGUGGGGAUAAAGCAGAAAGAAAUUGUCAAUAAAAUAGUUGAAAAGUUCCCAUCAAGUGAUUUUGUGGUAAUGCUUUUUCAUUAUGAUGGUUUUGUGGAUGGAUGGAAGAACUUAGCUUGGAGUAAGCACGCCAUACAUGUGUCUGCUAUCAAUCAAACAAAAUGGUGGUUUGCAAAACGGUUUUUGCAUCCAGACAUAGUUGCUGACUACAAUUAUAUAUUUCUCUGGGACGAGGACCUUCUUAUUGAUAAUUUUGACCCAAAAAGGUAUGUAUCCAUUGUUAAAGAAGAGGGACUAGAGAUAUCACAGCCUGCAUUGGAUCCUGUUAAAUCAGAAGUACAUCAUCCACUGACUGUUCGUAAAGCAGGAUCAAAAGUGCACAGAAGGUAUUAUAAGUUUAAAGGUGGUGGAAGGUGUGAUGACAAUAGUACUGCCCCUCCUUGCACAGGUUGGGUGGAAAUGAUGGCGCCAGUGUUUUCCAGAAAAUCAUGGCAAUGUGUAUGGCAUUUGAUCCAGAAUGACUUAAUCCAUGCGUGGGGCCUCGAUAGGCAGCUUGGUUAUUGUGCACUGGGCAAUCGAAUGAAAAAUGUUGGUGUGGUGGAUUCUGAGUAUAUAGUUCAUCUGGGUCUGCCUACUCUUGGGAGCUCUAAUGACAAUGAGACGCUGUCAGAUUCCCACAAAGAUAAUUCCAGAGUUAAAGUUAGGAUGCAGUCAUACAUUGAAAUGCAGGUUUUUGGGAAAAAGAUGGAAAGAAGCAGCAAACAAGGACAAAUGUUGGAGUGAUCCGUAUGGACAAGUGGCAAACCAGACUAGCCAUUAUUGAGUGUAUUUUGUGAGGUUUCCAGGUUCGUAGUCAACAAA